rnacentral:lncRNA from 1 species
GUGGUGUUGGCAUGAGGAAAGGAGGUAUCUUCGAGGGACAAUCUUCUUCUUGUGCGAUCCUUGGAGAUGCCAUGAGGCCCCUGGACACAUGUGGUGUGGGCUCCUUUGGAGGCUGUUGUAUCCCUUCUGAAUGUGGCGUGGGCAUAGAAGGAAGGCCAGUGGCCACGAGGGACAAUCUUGGUCUUGGGAGAUCCUGGAAAUGAUAGGGAGUCCCUUGAUAUGUGUGGCAUGGGCUCCUUCAGGUGCUAGUGGAUUCCUUAGGAUGGGACAAACACUGUGCGUGGAUCGAUGAUGACUUCCAUAUAUACAUUCCUUGGAAAGCUGAACAAAAUGAGUGAAAACUCUAUACCGUCAUCCUCGUCGAACUGAGGUGGUGUUGGCAUGAAAGGCAGGCUUGUAUCAUGAGGAAUGAUUGUCAUCUUGUCUGAUUCUUGGAGAUGGCAGGAAGCCCCUGGAAACACAUGGUGUGGACUCUUUCACAGGCUGUUGAAACCCUCCUGAAUGUGAGGCCAGAGACAGGCAGACAGCAGAUGUAUUGCAGGGAGCUGGAUGACAUGGCCCUUGGAACCUGUGCACAUGCCUGCCUUUCUGAUGCACGUCCAUGUUUUCUCUGCACCUCCCCGGUGGUGUUGGUAUAAAAAGCAGGCUUACAUCAGCAAGGGAUGAUUGUCGUCUCAUGCGAUCCUGGGAGAUGGCAGAAGUCCCGGGACACAUGGAGUGUGGGCUCUUUCGGAGGCUGUUGGAUCCCUCCUGAAUGUGUUGUGGCCAUGGAAGUAAGGCCAGUGGCUACGAGGGACAGUCUUCAUCUUGGGAGAUCCCUAGAGAGGGCAGGGAGCCCCUUGACAUGUGGAAUGUGAUCUCUGUUGGGUGCUGGUGGAUCCCACAGGUGGUCUGGCAUGGAAGAAGGCCAGAGGCUGCGAUGGAUCAUCUUUGUCUUGGGAGAUUCCUGGAGAUGGUGGGGAGCCCCUGGGCACGUGCAGCAUAUGUGGCGUGGGCUUCUUCAGGUGCUGGUGGAUCCCUCAGGAUGCUUUUCAAGGUUUUUCUAUGAGUUCUGUUAAAGAGUCUGAAAAUGGAGCGUAGAAGACAUGCUUCGAUUUCCAGGAUGGUUGUGUUUUCCAGAGAGGCGGAGGUAAACCACUGGCGCAGCCCUGCCUCCCACAGAUAAUUCCGGGUGCAGUGUUUCAUAUCUAGACUUGGACUUCUAUCCUACCAUACUUCUUUGUGUGCAGUUCAUUGUGGAACCAGCACAGAUUUUCAUACGAAAGUUAUUUCUUUUUAACCUCAAAAAGUGACAGAAUGGAGUGUAUCAUGAAAAAGUCUGACAUCAAAACCUCAAAAUGUGAUAUUGAUUGGGUGAGAUAGAAUUCCAUGGAAUUUCAUUGCCAAACCAGUGAAGUGCUAAUUUUGACAUUUGUACCAGCUAACGUAGCUGUGAAGAAACACACCAAUACACUUCUAAGGACAGCAUAGACCAAGAUCUAGGUUUCAUAUGGAUGAAUUUAUUCUUCCCUUUGAGGCAAGACAAGAAGGAAAGAAAGUAUUGGGAAUAAUGCUGCCCUCCCAUCCUCAAGGGCCAGUGGGAACUCUAAUAUUGAUUGGUUUUCACAGAAUUCCAUGGACUUUAACUGCUGAACCAAUGAUGCACUGAUUUUGUCACUUGUACCAGCUAACGCAUCUGGGAGGCAACAAAACAAUACUCUCCUGAGGUUAAUGUGGACCAAAAACUAGAUUUCAUAUAAAAGAGUUUAUUCCUUCUACUUGAGGUGUGACAUGAAGGAAAGUAAUGGAAAUAAUUCUGCCCUCCCAUUCUCAAGGGCCAGGGGGAAUUCAAAUAUUGAACGGAAGUGAUUUUGGAAUUGCAUGGAAUUCUCACUGCCAUCCCAAAGAAAUGCUGAUCUUGUCACUCUUACCUGUUUCAUUCCCUGGGGGCAGAACAAAAGGACGCACUCCAAAGAUCGGCAUGAACCAAGAACUGGGUUUCAUAUAAAAUAUUUUAUUCUGUCCUCUUGAGAUGUGACAUGAGAAAAGUAUUGAGAAUACUUCUAUCACCUCAUCUUCAAGAAUCCGUAGGAAUUCUCCCAUGGUGGACUUUACGGUUAACCUGAACAGGUCUUGGAAAAAGGACUUUAAACAUUCUCCUGUUCUGUGGAAUAAGUAUACUUUUUUCUGGACAUACACCUUGUCAGUUCCAUGUGAUACUAGAGUUGCAUAGAUUUUUAACCUUUACGCCAAUGAAGAUCUGAGGCAAACAUUGCCCCUUUUUUAGAAGUUUGCAUUUGUCACUGAUAACUGUAAUAAUUGAUCUUGUUGAAAAGCCUGGGAAAUGAAGAUCUGAUAUGUCACUUUUACCGGCUUCCUCAACUGAAAAAGAAUACAAUGAAACACGCUGAGAAUUUUUGUGCUUUCUCAGUCUUGCUGAUGAUCUUUCUAUGGGCCUGAAGCGUGGAGAGUGCCAGAGAGGCUGAUCCUCAGCAGUGUGGCAGAGGAAAGUUGGGUGCGACUAAGGGGUAUGCGGUGCCCACAUGCCACUGGGUCCUCAGCAGUACCACCUGAUUGGAAGUGAUAUUGGUGGAAGACAACAUUUUGCCGCUUGGAAUUCUCACCUCCACACCAAAGAAGUACUGUUUUUGUCAUUUGCACCAGCUUCUUUCUCCAGGAAAGAUCAAAACGAUGCACUGCAAGUGUGAUUGGUCCAGAUAGCUGCCUUAUCCAACUGCCUCCUUUGGACCACUUCAUCAUGGGACAGCUUGAUGCAAUCUACUUGACAAGACCCUGGAACCCCACACCCCUCAUGGAACCAGUGUCCACCUCCCAGUCACAGUGUGACCCCAGGGAACUCUUGCCUGCUUGCUUUAAACCCACCACUUAAAAGUCUCCACAGAAAACCUGUUUGAAUAGUACCCUUGACCCAAUAAGGGCAUUGGCCCCUGGGUGUCUCUCUCUCUCUCUCUCUCUCUCUCUCCCUCUCUCUCCCUCUCUCUCUCUCGCUCCCUGACCUCUGCGUGUGGACUCCAGGCAUGCCAUAUACCCCUCAGGACCUGAAGCAAAAGAAUGAAUUAAAGAAAACUCCAGAGAAUGAGCUGACAACCUACUCCCUGGUCAGUGGCUCUCCAUGCCUACCUGUGGUCUCUUGGACACCCUUGCAGAAGAUGACUUCCUGGGAACUCUUCUGGGAGUGAAUGUUAUCAGCAAAUUCCCAAAACAACACCCCUUAGACAAAAAGCCUCCUCACCUAUGCAUUGCCUAGACCACCCACUAAAGGUGAUGGCCACAAAGAGGUGGAUUUGUUGAGUUGGUGCCAUUCCUUCUACUGCCAGCUUCACCAAAACAAUGACACAGUCUUCCUUCCGCAUGGAGACUCUUCUCUUUCCUGUGUUGCAGUGGAUGCCUCCUGCAGAUAAGAAAUGCUUAACUGAGAAAUGCUCAUGUUGGGAUAUCAUCGAUGAGACUUUAAUUUGGGCAUGGUGACUGUUUCCCUUGCUGCCACUUGACUCAAUCCCAGGAGCCUCAGUAGAGGAUAUAAUAUUACACAAGAUGCUCAAAAUGGUGGAAUUGCUCAGUGCUCCCAUAAAUAUACAUUUAUAAUUUUCAUUUGCCACAUGGUAAACUGAAAAAUACAGACUAUAUUAAAAAGAAACUGCAUGAUUUUUUUUCAAAAAUUCAAAGCAUAUUUAAAUAAUAUAUAAAUUAAAUGCCCUCCUCUCUUCCAAUUCUGUCCCUAUAGUUUUCCUCUAUUAAGUGAACUACAUGCAUUCUUUUAGUGGAUAGAUGCACACAAACACACAAGCCAUUAUGGGGAAGGAUCCACGUGUGUGGCCAUAUUGUAACACAUUUUUCUGCAAAUCACCUCUUUCAUUUAACAGCCCUUAUUCAAUGGCCUUUUUCUUUUUCAGUAGUACAUACACAUCUGUGUCAUUUGUUGAAUGACGACAUGAAUGUUUUGUAGAUAAAAUAUAAUUAAAUGUUUUAAGCAUUUCUCACUCAUAGAUAUUUAUGUUAGCACCAAAUUUCUGUGCAAUGAACCUCCCUAUAUAUCAGUAAUUUUGCAUUUGUCUAUAAUAUCAUAAUAAAUUACUUAUCAGUUGAAUUACUGGGAUUAAGUAUGUGCACACUUUAUAUUUAUAUUUUGAAAAUUAUUGCAAGAUUGCCUUCAAAAAUGUGGUUAACAACUUUAUCUUCAAAUGGCAAUGAAUGAGAUUGCCAGCUUUCCUACAGCCUCACAGACAAUGGAUUUUAUAAAUAUUUAACAUUUUUGCCAAUGUGAUCACCCAAACUAUUGUCUUAAAUUGUAUCUCUUUUGUUUUUGAGUUUGGUCAUUUUUUCAUGUUUAUUAGCCAUCUGUAUUUUUUAAUUUCUUCUUUAUGUCCAAUUUUGUGGGUGGGAGGAGGAUUUAGUCUCUUCCUGAUUUCGAAGAGCUCAUUUACUAUUUCGGGAAAUAAGAUUUGGAUUGUCAACCAUUAUAGCUAUUUUUUACACACUUUUCAACUUUGUUUUUGUUAUAAGAAUGUGUAUGAUUGUUACAUGUCCAAGUAUAACCAUGUUCGCUUUUAUGGCUUCUGAGUUUCAUGUCAUUUUUGGAAAGAUAUAUAUAUUGAGUCCAUAAAACCCUUCACCUAUGUUAAAUUCUAAUUCUUUUGUGUUUUUUUAAUUCAAAUUCUUAAAUCAUGAGAAAUUUUUUUGUUUUGAAAUCUUAAAGUUGCCAAGUUACUUGCCAUUACUUGCGAUUAUUUGCCAAUAAUUGCCCAUUUAUCUGUACCGCCAUCUUGCGCAUAUGCUGUACUCUCAUCUGUGACUGGCUCCAUUUUUGUUCUGUGGAUUUGUGUGUCUCUUCUUCUGCCUCCUGUCUCGUGUCUGCUCGUUGGAAGAAAUUACAGUUUAGACUGCAAUUUCAUCAACUUUAAUAAAUCAAUUGAGGGGAGAAUUGGUUUUUAAAAAUAUUAAGUAAGUCUUCGUAUCCAAGGACAAGGUAUGUCUUUUCUUAUUCAAUAAUUUUAAUUACUGUUAAUAUUUUCACUGUGGUGAUGGGAGUUUUUCUUUUAAUUUAUUUUCUUGUUCAUUUUUUGUAUCUAAAGUUUUUGUUUUGUUUUGUUUUGGGGGUAAGUUGUCACCUUACUGUUUCUUGUUGCUUUUCAGAUUUUUUCAAAGUAUAGACUAAAUCCUUCACAAAUAUUUAAAGUUUUUAUUUUCCCCCUUCAUAUUGAUCCUGAUUUUAGUUAUGUUGACAAAGUCCACAGACUGUUACUAUCAGAACACUUGAACAGUUAUGGAAAUAUUACCUACCCUUGAUUUAAUCAGAGUUUAAUGGUAUGCUUCUUUGGUUUGACUGGCACAUUGUCGCUGGUCAUUUCCUCCCAAAGACCACCAGAAAGAGCUAUGAUCAAGCAAAGCUGAGUUUGUUAAACUUACCUGCAGCAAGGGAAAACACCACCUUGAUAGGGUUUAAUAAUGUUUCAAAAUCAAGAAAUGAGGCUUUGGGGUCUGGGCAGGGAACUAAUUAGAAAUGGGCAAAAUUUGUCAUGCAAUACCUUGUGGGAAAGUGAGAUGAGGUUCUUAAUGUGAGUAUUGAUGGUGAAAUCAUUUUCUAGGUGAGCUGUUUGCCUAUAUAAAGAUGUUAUCAAUGACAGAAGAACUAUUUGCCUAGAUAAACAAACUGAAUUUAUUUAUUGGUUUACAGUUUUAUCUUGCUGGGCAGGACUCUGCUGGGGGUGGUAUCAGGUCUUAUUCCCAAUAGGUAAGUUAUUUGGAUAUGGGUGGUCUUAAUCAUCAAUGUGUAAAAUGCUGAUUUUAAGUGCGAAAUACUUUGUCUACCAUGUUAGGAAAGUCUGCCACCUUUUAUCUUUUUUAAGGAAUUUUAAUCAAAACCAGGUGGUAGAUAUAAUCAAAUUGUUUUGCAGAAUCAAUUUUCCUGUUCUCUUUAAAGACUUUUAUCACUGUGAAUUAAUUUACUAUUAUUGCAACUUCCUUUAAUUCCUUGAAUGAACAGACCCUACUGGUUUUAAAAAUGUUUUAUUCUUUUAAUUUACUACUUAAUUGUGGGUAUUUUAAUUUGAUUUGGAAUUUUUACAAGUAUACAACUAAGUGAAAUUGAUCUGUGAUUUUUCUUUUUUGUGCUAUUUUUGUCAUGUUUUGAUAUCAGAUAUUCUGGUUGUGUUAAAAUAAUUUUGAGGAUUUUCUUCUUAUACUGUGUUCUAGAGUGGGUAAAAAAGCCCUAGUCUCACUAUCAGUGUUUAAGUGAACACAUCAGUGACAUCAUCUGGACUCUCCUUUGUUUUUGCUGGUUUGGAGUUAGGACAUCUAGAAGUUUUUUUCUUUUUUUCCUUUUUUUGUAUGGUUAUUGCUUGUUCUUUGUUUUGUGUCAAAUUUAACCUGUUUUCUCUUAGCAAAUCACAGCUCAUGCAGAUUUUCAAACACAUUAGCCUUGUUAUACAAAGUGUUCUUUCAUCAUUCUAUUAAAUUUCCAUUUUCAUUCCAGUUAUAGUUAUUUCUGCUGUGCCUUUGUUAAUGAAUAAGUUUAAACAGUGGAUGUUUAGCAUCACUAGCCUUCCCCUUCCAUCUCCCUUAAUCAGGACCUUGGUAUAAUUUAUCAGGUAUUUUUUAAGGUUCUAAUUUACUUAUAUAUAUUGUUUCUGUAUUCUUUUGUUUCUUUUCUUAAUAAAUUCUUAAACCUGUGU